rnacentral:rRNA from 1 species
UCUUUCCUACGGGAGGCAGCAGUGGGGAAUAUUGCACAAUGGGGGAAACCCUGAUGCAGCGACGCCGCGUGGGUGAAGAAGCGCCUCGGCGCGUAAAGCCCUGUCAGCAGGGAAGAAAAUGACGGUACCUGAAGAAGAAGCCCCGGCUAACUACGUGCCAGCAGCCGCGGUAAUACGUAGGGGGCAAGCGUUAUCCGGAUUUACUGGGUGUAAAGGGGGCGCAGACGGCGAUGCAAGCCAGGAGUGAAAGCCCGGGGCCCAACCCCGGGACUGCUUUGGAAACUGUAUGGCCUGAGUGCGGGAGG